UCUCUUUGUUUUUGGACUUCAGCAUAGGCAGGAGCUAAUCAAGUCUUGCUCUGCACUCGUGGCAGGGGUGAAACUGUCUGUGUGUUGAUUGUCUUUCUCUGUGUUCUUGGACUUGGACUUUGGCCGAUGCUAUCUUUGGAUAUGGGACAGACUGAAUCUACCCCAUUAAACAUCCUAGUUAACCACUGGAGGGAAGUUGGGGAAAGAGGAAAAAACUUGUCAGUAGUAGUAAAGAAGGGCAGGUUAGUAACUCUGUGCUCCUCUAAAUGGCCCACCUUCAGAGUAGGGUGAACACCCAUAGGGACCCUUGAUUUGUAGGUGAUCAAAGCAGUAAAGGAAAGAGUCUUUAGGCCAGGAUCCCCCAGGCACCCAGACCAAGUACCCUAUAUAGUUACCUGGAAGGAUCUAGUGGAGGAUAAAAGCUUGGAUAAAAACUUGUUUGUCUCCAAGACUCACACAGGUCCUAGCCAUGAAGGAGAAGAACCCUGUAGAGACCACUGACAUCCUCCAGGACCCUUCCACAGUGAAUCCACUACUGACAGAUCCUCCACCCCUUACCCCCCAACCAUGGCUCCAGUUCCCUCCUCAAGGAUCUCCCUUAAACCCUCAUUCAGCAUCCCUUUACCCCACCUUCCUCCAGCCUUAGCAAAGGGGGAUGGUGGGAAGGGACCCUCAGACCCAGGACUGGCCAUGGAGACAUGGAGCAAAAGGGCCACUUACCCGAUACAACAGUGGCCCUCCUGCUCCGAGCCUACCAGCUCAUAGAUGAGGAUGACAGUCAGGCCAUGCAAUAUUGGCCUUUCUCUUUAGCUGACUUGUACAACUGCAAGGCCCAACAGCCCUCUUUUCAGAUAACCCCAAGGGGCUGAUUAAUCUCACACUGUUUUAUUUACUCAUCAGCCCACCUGGGAUGAUAUCCAACCACUCAUGAGAGUGCUCUUCAUGACCGGAGAGCAAGAGAGGAUAAUGAAGGAAGCCAGAAUGGGGGCACCAUCCAUUGACCAGGCUGUCAUUGACAGUAGAUUUCCUCUGACUAGGACCUGACAGGGACUUUAAAUAUGGCAGGUGGUAAGGAGCACCUGAAGGUCUACCACCGGACUUCGUUGGCAGGUCUCAAGUGGUUCACAGGAUGACCCACCAAUUUGACCAAGGUUGGGAGGUGCUGUACUGAAUUCUGUGAGUACUUUUCAAUACGAAGGCCUGCCAAUGCCUGGACUAAGUGAGGAGCCACCUUCCAGCGCUGAGCCUGAGGACCCCGUGGUUGCAUGCCGGGAUUAUUAGAAUAUACUAUAGCUGUCUUCAAGCACACCAG
rnacentral:sRNA from 1 species